rnacentral:misc_RNA from 1 species
CAGUGGGACUCCUACGGGAGGCAGCAGUGGGACUCCUACGGGAGGCAGCAGUGGGACUCCUACGGGAGGCAGCAGUGGGACUCCUACGGGAGGCAGCAGUGGGACAGUUGGCUCAGAACGAACGCUGGCGGCCCACUCCUACGGGAGGCAGCAGUGGGACUCCUACGGGAGGCAGCAGUGGGACUCCUACGGGAGGCAGCAGUGGGACUCCUACGGGAGGCAGCAGUGGGACUCCUACGGGAGGCAGCAGUGGGGCAGUUGGCUCAGAACGAACGCUGGCGGCUGGCUCAGAACGAACGC